UCUGUGUGGUGUUCCAGAAGAGAUUAGCAUCAGAAGACUAAAGAAGAUCUGCCCUCACCAAUGCAGAGCAAGUUUGCCAACCUGUAUCUUAAUUCAUCUUUGUGGCCAGAGAAGUGGAUUUACUGAUUUGUUUCAGCUGAUCAAUGUCUAUAAUAAGCAAUGUUGAUGGGCUGAAAACCACACAAACUACCAGAGGGGUUGCUUUUCCGAAGAAUCAUGUAAGGAUAAAAGAGAAAGAAAGAGAGAAAGACCUUGGAACCCAACUAGUAUCUACCAAAUUUCUCUUCAGGGAAUUUUGUCUGGUUCAAGAAGUCAUACCCCAGCCCAAGAGAAGCCUUGGACAUCUCUCAUAAGACAUCCAAGGGACAGAGCUCCUGGGAGACCUAGAGUGAGCUGGAGAGUGAACAACAUACCCCACUGGGAAGUAAGCAGCCCUGGAUUCUGCCUCUUGCUAACUGAUUCGUUUCGAACCCUGUUUUUCUAUCUGUAAAAGGGACUGUAAC
rnacentral:lncRNA from 1 species